GUUGGCUCCUUUGCAGCAAAUCAUCUCCACGGACAGGCUCUGCCUUGCUGCAUGUUAGCCCCCAAAGCUCUGUGUGCCUGUGGAGGAGCCUCAUGUGUGGCCAGAGCCUGGCCCACGAUCCCCUCGAGAGAUGCCUGUCUGGGGGAGGGGAUGCUCCCAGCAUCCCAGAGCCUGAGGAACAGAGCCUUUCAGGAGCCUGGGCCCCUCUGGAGGACGGGCACUGCUGGCCAGAGCUCCCCAGUGACAGGUCAAUCCCAGUCUUUGUCCUG